AACGAACGCUGGCGGCAUGCCUAACACAUGCAAGUCGAACGAGACCUUCGGGUCUAGUGGCGCACGGGUGCGUAACGCGUGGGAACCUGCCCUUAGGUUCGGAAUAACUCCCCGAAAGGGGUGCUAAUACCGGAUAAUGUCUUCAGACCAAAGAUUUAUCGCCUUUGGAUGGGCCCGCGUUGGAUUAGCUAGUUGGUAGGGUAAAAGCCUACCAAGGCGACGAUCCAUAGCUGGUCUGAGAGGAUGAUCAGCCACACUGGGACUGAGACACGGCCCAGACUCCUACGGGAGGCAGCAGUGGGGAAUAUUGGACAAUGGGCGGAAGCCUGAUCCAGCAAUGCCGCGUGAGUGAUGAAGGCCUUAGGGUUGUAAAGCUCUUUUACCCGGGAUGAUAAUGACAGUACCGGGAGAAUAAGCUCCGGCUAACUCCGUG
rnacentral:rRNA from 1 species